GGGGUGUGGUCGGCCUCCUUGGGUGAGAGGACCGGCCACUUGGCUUUCUUUGUGGGCUAGGUUCUUGAUUUGUGUUAAUUGGGUAUAAUUGAAUAAUUAACUAAUUAAUUAGUCAAUUAAUAGACUAAUUGCCUAAUUGAUUAGCUAAUUAAUAUAAUAAAAAGGAAAAGAUUUGAUAGUUACCUUGUGGAGAGGAUUUGAUGAGGGUGGAUGAAAAAGGUUUUGAAUUGUUACUUC
rnacentral:lncRNA from 1 species